rnacentral:tRNA from 1 species
UUGGGUAUAUAUCAAUGGUAGAUUAUCAACCUUCCAAGUUGAAAGUUACGAGUUCAAAUCUCGUUACCCACU